rnacentral:misc_RNA from 1 species
AACGCACAUUGCGCUCCCUGGUAUUCCGGGGAGCAUGCCCGUUUCAGAAUCAUUAAAAUCUCACAAACCUCGUUUUCUUUGGAGAUCGGGAUGCGUGGAUUUGGGAGCUUUUGCGGCUUUGUCUGCGAUGCACCUGUAAAUGAUUGUGACGUGCGCCAAUUGUCGUGUCAACUGGUCGUCCGAAGCGCAACAGAUUCAUCUAUUCGUUUUGGACGACUGCUGGCUGAUUUGGAGGCACGGUGCUCAAAUUGUCAACCGAGGUCCUGCGACUUUGCAGGACUUGCUGAUAACUUGGUCUGAAAUCGGGCAAGAAAACCCGCUGAACUUAA